rnacentral:lncRNA from 1 species
CUCAGAAACAGACACCAUGGUGCACCUGACUGAUGCUGAGAAGGCUGCUGUUAAUGGCCUGUGGGGAAAGGUGAACCCUGAUGAUGUUGGUGGCGAGGCCCUGGGCAGGCUGCUGGUUGUCUACCCUUGGACCCAGAGGUACUUUGAUAGCUUUGGGGACCUGUCCUCUGCCUCUGCUAUCAUGGGUAACCCUAAGGUGAAGGCCCAUGGCAAGAAGGUGAUAAACGCCUUCAAUGAUGGCCUGAAACACUUGGACAACCUCAAGGGCACCUUUGCUCAUCUGAGUGAACUCCACUGUGACAAGCUGCAUGUGGAUCCUGAGAACUUCAGGGCAGAAGCUGGAAAGAACUCAGAUGUCCUUCAACAGAGGAACAGAUAAAGAAAGUAUGGUACACUUAUACAGUGGAAUACUACUCAGCUAUUACAAAUAAUGACUACAUGAAAUUCUGAGGCAAAUGGAUGGAACUAGAAAGUAUCCUCUUGAGUGAGGUAACCCAGUCAGAAAACAAAUCACAUGGUAUGCACUCACUGAUAAGUGGAUAUUAGCCUAAAAGCCUGGAAUUCCCAAAAAAUAAUUACAGACUAUAUGAAGCUCAAGAAAAAGAAAGACCAUAAUGUGAAUGCUUAAGUCCUUCUUAAAAUGGUGAACAAAAUACCUAAAGGAGGAAAUACAGGGACAAAGAGUGGAGCAGGAACUAAAAGAAAGGUCAUCCUGUGACUGUCCUACCUGGAGAUCCAUCCCAUAUGCAGCCACCAAAUCCAGCCACUAUUGCUGAUGCCAACAAGUGCUUGCUGA